GCUUACGGCCAUACCACCCUUGAAAUGCCCGAUCUCAUCUGAACUCGGAAGUAAAGCAGGGUCGGGCCUGGUUAGUACUUGGAUGGGAGACCGCCUGGGAAUACCAGGUGCUGUAAGCU
rfam:Danio rerio chromosome 4, GRCz11 reference primary assembly.